rnacentral:tRNA from 1 species
GUGGCAGUAGCUCGAUGGUAGAGCUCCCGCUUCGUAAGUGGGAAGACUUGGCAUCGAUUCCCGGCUGCUUUU